CAACCCUCAAGCUCUGCUUGGUCUUGGGCACUGCCGGUAACGGCUUGCCUUAAAACUAGUGGCGGUGCCAUUCGAGCUCUACGCGUAGUAAUUAAACCCUCGCGAUUGAGUCUUGGUGAAUGCUUGCCAGCAACCCUCAAAUUUUUAU
rnacentral:misc_RNA from 1 species